rnacentral:rRNA from 1 species
ACAUCAGUAGCCGCGGUAAUACGGAGGGUGCAAGCGUUAAUCGGAAUUACUGGGCGUAAAGCGCACGCAGGCGGUCUGACAAGUCAGAUGUGAAAUCCCCGGGCUUAACCUGGGAACUGCAUUUGAAACUGUCAGGCUGGAGUCUUGUAGAGGGGGGUGGAAUUCCAGGUGUAGCGGUGAAAUGCGUAGAGAUCUGGAGGAAUACCGGUGGCGAAGGCGGCCCCCUGGACAAAGACUGACGCUCAGGUGCGAAAGCGUGGGGAGCAAACAGGAUUAGAUACCCGUGUAGUCCCUGUCUCUUAUAC